rnacentral:rRNA from 3 species
AACGCGAAGAACCUUACCUACUCUUGACAUCCAGAGAACUUUCCAGAGAUGGAUUGGUGCCUUCGGGAACUCUGAGACAGGUGCUGCAUGGCUGUCGUCAGCUCGUGUUGUGAAAUGUUGGGUUAAGUCCCGCAACGAGCGCAACCCUUAUCCUUUGUUGCCAGCGGUCCGGCCGGGAACUCAAAGGAGACUGCCAGUGAUAAACUGGAGGAAGGUGGGGAUGACGUCAAGUCAUCAUGGCCCUUACGAGUAGGGCUACACACGUGCUACAAUGGCGCAUACAAAGAGAAGCGACCUCGCGAGAGCAAGCGGACCUCAUAAAGUGCGUCGUAGUCCGGAUUGGAGUCUGCAACUCGACUCCAUGAAGUCGGAAUCGCUAGUAAUCGUAGAUCAGAAUGCUACGGUGAAUACGUUCCCGGGUCUUGUACACACCG